rnacentral:rRNA from 1 species
CAGUAGCCGCGGGAAUACGUAGGUGGCAAGCGUUGUCCGGAAUUAUUGGGCGUAAAGGGCUCGCAGGCGGUUUCUUAAGUCUGAUGUGAAAGCCCCCGGCUCAACCGGGGAGGGUCAUUGGAAACUGGGAGACUUGAGUGCAGAAGAGGAGAGUGGAAUUCCACGUGUAGCGGUGAAAUGCGUAGAGAUGUGGAGGAACACCAGUGGCGAAGGCGACUCUCUGGUCUGUAACUGACGCUGAGGAGCGAAAGCGUGGGGAGCGAACAGGAUUAGAUACCCGCGUAGUCCCUGUCUCUUAUAC